UACGUAGGUGACCAGCGUUGUCCGGAUUUACUGGGCGUAAAGAGCGCGCAGGCGGUCGUUCAAGUCGAGUGUGAAAGCCCCCGGCUCAACUGGGGAGGGUCACUCGAUACUGAUCGACUUGAAGGCAGGAGAGGGAAGCGGAAUUCCCGGUGUAGUGGUGAAACGCGUAGAUAUCGGGAGGAACACCAGUGGCGAAGGCGGCUUCCUGGCCUGUUCUUGACGCUGAGGCGCGAAAGCUAGGGGAGCAAACGGG
rnacentral:rRNA from 1 species